UGUCUUCUCUCCUGAUGUUGAUCUUGGGGCCAUUGAUCAUAGAUGUCAUCCUGGUAAGCAAAAAGAUCUGGAGCUUCUUGCACACACUUACAAAAUACCUAGCGCAUGAUGACACCCUCGUCGUCGACUCUGUGGUGCUUGAUGAUAGCCCCGCAUCGCCGGCGAAAGUAACUGGCGGUGGAGGAUUAACAUCUCGUGACAUAGAAUUUGUCACGGCGAGGCUAGGUCUUACCGGCUGGAGGUACCAAGGGUGUGAAGGAAUUAGUGUCGUAGAUGAGUUGUUGGACGGUAAGCAAGCGAGCAAGGGUGAGCUGGAGGAGGCCUUCUGUGUUUUCGACCGUGAUGAGGACGGGUUCAUAUGCGCCGGUGGGUUGUGGAACGUGAUGAGGAGGCUUGGGUUGAAAGAAGGGGCCAUGUAUGAGGACUGUGUGAGGAUGAUCCGCCCCUUCGAUGAGGAUGGAGAUGGUAAGAUUAGCUUCAUAGAGUUUAGAAAGAUGAUGGAGAAUGCCGUUUAGUUAAAUAGAAUGUUUUUGUUUGUGUAAAAUAAGCCGUUAUAAACAGUUGUAUGAACAAUGUGUGUCAGUAUGCAACUUUUUGGCAUUUAAUUAAGGUUUUGACCUCACUAUUUGUUCGCACUAUUUUGGGCCAAACAAUUUGGCAAAUAUGUAAAGUAUCAAACAUUGCAUCUCGCUACCAAACAGCUCAUACAUAAAGUAGGAAAACGCCAACGUUUUACUCUCUAAAGUUUCGAGUUUGUCUCGAUAGCCUUUGGUUUUGUCCAUUUACCCCUCCAAGUGUAUGGGAUGCUAUGUAAAAAAACACUGUCAGAACUAGUGCCGUAGAUUGAUGUGAUCUGGCAUUGAUAAUUUGCAGGGUAAAUCUAAUGAAGCAAAAGGGUAGUUUAUGUUGUGAAUAAAGAAGUAAACUGCGGAUUAAAAACAUAGAAGAGAAUUUGGAUUCCAAUUCCUGUUCUUUGGCACAUGGUGCAUGAUGUGUGAAUGUGCAUGAGUAUAUGCGGCGCUUACAAACCAAGAAAAGGACAUGCAUUUGCUUACCUGCAUGUUGCCGCCCCCCUAUGUCAGUCCAACAAGAAAUGGAAAAGAGAAAUUAUAGGUCACUAUCUAAGAGCACGAAAGGUAACAGUUAUGCCAAACGUGUCAAUUCAUUAUAUGGAAAAGCUUUGCUCUACAUGCAUCGACUGUAUAGAAAUUAAUAGAAGGAAAUGAAGUUAUGGAUACUUCAGUAGGACAUGAAUCGACCUUUUGGCCUGAAAAUUAAGAAAUUUCUACCUGGUAAUUAUUAUGUACUGCCAUCCCAUAACCUGUGAUUUCACAACAUAUUUGAUGAAGGUGAUUAAACUCAAACUCACGGUCAAUCGUCUUACUAGGACAAAAGAAACAUGUGUCAAACGAUAUUUGAAGUAAAAUGUGCCAUCAGAGCAUCUUCAAUAAAUCCCCUUUCCCUGACUAAAAACUGGCAUAGAGGGAGUUGGGCCAAAAAACCUGCUCCAACAUAUCCCAUAAACGAGAAAUAAAAAUCAGAGGACCACUUAUAAUCAACCCAAGCUCGCCUCUAUCUAGGGGAAAUGGGCCGUCCAUAACUUUCCCCUCAUACUGGCAGGAGGCAACAGCUGAACCACGUCCACCUCCACGCCCGUGGGCGAGCCGCGGCCCAGCAGACGACCCAAAUCUUUAUUGGUGGCAGUCCACCGCCUUGCCCCACCUCCCGGCCGCACCGCCUCAACUCUCUGUAGCCCCGCCAUCGCAGCAUCUCGCCCCACUGCCACGUAAUCCUAGCCGCCUCGCCAGGCCGCCUCUACACGCUGACCCGACCACCUCUCCCAACUAUACUUCCCGAGCUCACUGGACCUUCCCCGACCAGCCACCACUUCCUCUAGUUUGCAUCGCCUUUGGAUCCACAAUGUGUUCAAUGAAUUUCCUCACCCUUAAACAUAUAAGGUUGGACGAAGAACAAGCGGACAACAGGACCUUGCGUCUUUUUUAAGUAGGAGAGAUAUUUGAUGGAUUUGAUCCGACUCAAACUCGUAGUGAAUUAUAUUACUAGGACGAAAUAAACAUGUAUCAAAUGAUAUUUACACGAGUCAGGUAGGUGUACGCAUGCAAGUGUUAGCACCCAUUUUAUUUACUAGAUAAUUGCACGUAUGUUACAACAUGGGCAUUAUUGUAUUUGUUAAACACUUAUUGGGUAAGUAUUUAGUGGCUUACCAAAGAAAAUAUUAUUUGAUUUGGUCAGUCAAUAAGAGGUGAGGCAGUUGAAGUGAUUUUCGUGUGAAACCGGUGCACAAAAUCAGAAGUGGGAGGGAAAAAAUCAAAACAAAGGGAGAGCGUGAGUGAAGGUAAGGUUGGACGACUAACAGAACCUUACGUAUUUUUUUAAGUGGGAUAGGAAGAGAUAAGAUAAGUCAAUAAGAAGUGAGCCAAUUGAAGCGGUUUUCAUGAAAAACUGGUGUGAAAAAUCAGUGGUGGGAGGUUAAAAACUCAAAAUGAAUGGAUGUGNNNNNNNNNNNNNNNNNNNNNNNNNNNNNNNNNNNNNNNNNNNNNNNNNNNNNNNNNNNNNNNNNNNNNNNNNNNNNNNNNNNNNNNNNNNNNNNNNNNNNNNNNNNNNNNNNNNNNNNNNNNNNNNNNNNNNNNNNNNNNNNNNNNNNNNNNNNNNNNNNNNNNNNNNNNNNNNNNNNNNNNNNNNNNNNNNNNNNNNNNNNNNNNNNNNNNNNNNNNNNNNUAGAACUUUUACGUCAUUUUAAAGUAGGAUAGAAUAGAGAGAGAAAAAUCAGGGUUUCUCGUGCCGCCGUUGUCGCCGCCAUCUGAGAAAUUUUGGUCCCCUCGCCUCCAACUGCCAUCUUGGCGCUAAGAGGUGGGGGGACCUCGGAUCUUCAAGACCUCUAUGUUCUUCGUCAAUGCCUAGUGAUCAUCAUAGUUUUGUGAGAAUAAACUUCCUCUCAGUCUUUUGACAAUGCCAUGAGGUUAGAAAGUUUUCCGUCCUCGCGGAUUCGAUUAUUCGGAUCUGAUAAGUUUAUAUUGCUAUUUUCAAGCUUUUUUGUUGGUUUGAUUCUUUGCGGAGGUGAAAUCUUUCAUCGACACCAUGGUGAAGAUAUAGUGAUUCGGCGGCCUGCGCUUCUAGGGGAUCAUCCCGGGCCCAAGUACGUUCAUCGGUCAAGGCUUCCCAUCUAUUUAAGAUGGGCAACUCAAGGCGAUUUCAAAAACCAUUAUUGGUAACGUUCGUGCGGGUGAAAGAGUGACAACGUUGUUUCUCCAGUUUAAUUGCAGCCUCUUUACCGAAGUCUUUGGAGUAUCUCUUCGAGUAAAGAUUGCUAUCGCGGAGAAGGUGUUUACAAGAGAUUUCAUUGUAAUUCUUAGUCAUGGGAGUUAUUUUGUAUUUUCUUGGAUCUUAGGUCCAAAUCGGUUUACCUGUAAUUGUUAUGAUCAAUAAAGUUACAGGUGUUUCUAAAAAAAGUAAAAUUGAAGAGAAGAGACGUGUAGUUUAGACCAUGAUUUACCUGCACUUAUUAGUGUGAUUUGACCAUAUUAAAGUGUUGUGUAAAAUGUAUUUUUUUAACUAAAUAUAUAAUUUUAGUUGGUAAACACAUAUUGACACAUCAAAGUAAACAUAAUUCUAUGCGAUAUAUCAAUAAGAGGUGGGGGCAGUUGAAGCGUUUUCAUAAAAAGGCAGUGUAAAAAAUCAGGCGUGGUAGAAAGAAAAGCAAAAUGGAGAAGGGAAUAGGAAAUAAGUGUAUGGUUGGGUGAAAGUCCAGCGAACUGACAUAACUAGUGUGUUUUUAAUUAAGUAAGAGAAGAUUGAAAUUAGUGAAAGCCACAUGGCACGUGGCCGUCAAAGAACUCAUAAAGUUGUUGCAAGAUAUGCCUUCCUUUGGAUGCAAUUACUCUCUCCGAUACAUAUUAUUUGUCUUAGUUUUCUCUAAAUACAAAUGUAUCUAACACUAAAACAUAUCUAGAUACAUCCGUAUUUAGACAAAUCUAAAACAAGUAAUAUUGAUCAAAGUGGUAAGAAAGUUUCGGACAGUGAACACAACUAAGAAACAUGUCAAUUAUUGUUUAUUUAGUUAUUACUAUGGAAAUGAUUGAGAGAGAGAGAGAGAGAGAGAGAGAAAGAGAGACACACAUGCAAAAUAACAUGGUCCCACCAAUCAAAAGAAAAAAACAGUCUAGAUUUGUUCAGUGCUCUUACCUCUUAGGAGGUAAGUUGGAGUGGAAUAAAUGAGCUCUGUCAAGAAAUUUUAGCUAACAUAUUUUCAAUACUAGCCAUUCGGUUAAGACUUGGCACAGAUGCCCAUAUUUCUUGGAUUUAUUUAAGCUUUUCAAUGGUAUUAUUUUGAUGGUAUACUUCAUCAACUAUACGAAGUGUUUGUGAUGAUUAAAUCAAUCUCAAGGUAUGUUGGGUCAGUCUCUCAGAUGUGCUGAUAGAGAGGUACGUAGGGCAGUGACGUGGCGAGGAAUUUUAAACAGGGUGGUCCAAUAAACAAAAAUAAUAAUAUUGGUGUGGAUAGCUCUCGUCUAGAUGAAAAUUAACUAAGUCUUCUCUUACUCCUAACCCAUUUGAUCUGAUGUGGAGAUUCAUGUGGAUUGUUUUGUUUGAUUAGUCAAAUGGUAUACGUGUUAGAUGAGAAUUAGGCAAAUCCACAUUUUGUUGCCACAAAUAGAAACAUAAUUUAUACUGUUAUAUAGUUUAACAAAAGGAUAUAUCAUUAAAAACUUGCAAGUAUACAAAAUUCACAAUUAAUUUGAAAUUCAAAAACAUGAUGUCUUUAGUCUUCUUCAUUUUGCAAUAAUUCUACAGUCAAAUGUUCAAUUGAUACAUUUACACAUGCAUCGAAAUUUUAACAAAUGCACUUGGAGUUUUAACAAAUGUUAAAAGUAUAUCAAAUAAAUGUUUCACAAAUAUGUGAAAAAUGUACAAUAUUUAUGAAAAAGAGACAUCAAACAUGUUAAUCCUUGUAUUUAAAAAUGCCUAUAAUAAUGUAUGAAAAAUGUUAAACAUCUUCUUGAUGCAUACGAAAAAGGACAUCAAGAACAUUUAUUUUUUUAAAUGUUAGUUGUGUAUUUCAAAAAUAUUUCACGUGUAUAAAAAGAUUGUUUCACAUGUACAUGAGAAAUGUACAUAGGAAAUAGAGGGAAAAUGAUAAAACCAACACAUAGAAAAGAAAAAAGGUCAACCGAAAAGGUUCUAAAACCAAAGAAAAACUGAUGAAAACCUAAAGAAAUACAUAUAAGAAGAAAGAGAGAAACCCGGAGAAAAACGUUGAAAAAGAAAGAGAAGUGAAGAAAACUAGGGAAAAUCAAUGAAAACAGAAGAACAAAGAAGAAAAGAAAAAAUGGUGAAAACCAAGGGAAAAUGAAGAAAACAGAAGGAAACAAAAGGAAAGAAAGAAAAGAAAAAAUAGUGAAAUCAAAAAAUCAGGAAAACAUAAGUUAUAACAAAGGGAAAAGGAAAAACUGAAUAAAAUUGGUGAACAAAUUAAAAGAACCGAAGAAAAAACAAAAGAAAAGAAAAAAUAAAAAGUAUCAGAGAAAACCAGAUAGAGCAAACCUAUAGCAAACGAAUCCCGCUAAUAGGCCAGCCUUCUCCAUCUACGCCUGACGCGAUAGCUACUUCCAUCCCGCUAUAAGAAAGACAAAGCUCUCGAUCCUGAGCAUUGGCAAUUAUGUACGACUGUUGUAGCUGGAAAUGAUCAGGCAUGUGAGCUUGCCAGGUUGGAUAAGAUGAUCUAGCAUAUGUUGUAUUUUUUUCAGGGCUUACCACUAUAGCCCGGCAAAAGGGCAGUGCGUUGCCUGGCCAGCAACGAGAUAGAAGAACCGAUCGCCUCUGACAACCUCUGUUUUUCUUUUUUCCAUUAUUAUUAUACACAUUUAUGUAAAUAGAAAAUAUAUAACUUCAAUUAUAUAUGCUAGAUAGCGGUGCAUCGAGUCCCGUGAGCCGGUGUGUACCCCAUGCCCUACUCUCUCUCGCCGGCCACUAGAGCAAUACGCGAGGGGGGUAGCCGGCCGCCGGACAUGGGCACGGCAGAGUCAGACGUCGUUUAGAUUAAGUUUCACGUUGCAUGUAAUUGUAUGGAUUUGAGAUUUCAUAAUUGAGGUAUCCGGUUGUGGAAAUGAUUAUUUGAGAUGUGAUAGGUCACUGGAUUUGCCAAGUCCGGCUUUAGAUACUCUAAUGACUGCUUCAUGUGAAAAGUUCAUGUGAAAUCCAUAGCCUCUGUUGGGAGGGAACUCAGUAAACUCUCAAGGAGAUGGUUACACAAGUAUAACUAACUUGCAGAGUUUUGUUUGUUAGUGUUUGUAUUAGUGGCCCAGGCGAGGGAGUCCUAGCUGUCACGGCGGCAGGCGACCUGCCGUGGGAUUCUCAGCUGCUGGGGGCGUCAUGGACACGUCUGUCCCAUCUGCACCGGUGAUUUCAGCGCCGCUCAUGACGUAUGCCACCUCCUGUUCGCGCACCAUCACCACCGCCCGCUCCCGCUCCUGCGGAGUGGCAUAGUCUGUCUGUUGGAAUGUAUUGAUGGCAUAGUUGCCUGGUUUGCAGCUUGUAUGCUAUCUCGGAUCCAACCUCUGAACCCGUCAUUAUCAGGCUACUAUGAGUAUUCCACCUGACGGAUUGCUAUAUAUGGAAUAAGAGUAUCGUGCUCUCUUUCCCAAUAAAACAGUGCAUUUGGUUCCUUCUCCUAGAUGUGUUAAUAUCAUUGAUUCCAAAUAGGUAUUUAAAGUGAAGAAGCAUUCUGAUGGCUCCAUUGAGCAUUAGAAGGCACGCCUGGUUGCAAAAAGUCUUAAGCAACACUAUGGUCUUGAUUACGAGGAUAAAUUCAGUCCAGUUGUCAAGCCUGUAAACUUUGGUGGAAGCAUUGAACCAUUUGCUCGGGCCGCAUCUCUAUUUAUAUCAUAUGUGUGCCGUGGCUUACAAGAGAUCGAGAGAGAUCGAUCACGAUCGUUACAUGAGAUCAGGGAGGUUACAAUAGAAGAAGAGAUAGAAAGAUACAAGUUUAAAACACCUCUCCUACCUCUAUACAAUAUCAUCUAACAAAGCCCACCACCAUUCGUCUCUUGCUAUUCUUGGCAGUUACUCAUGGUUGGUCUCUCCAACAGUUGGAUUUCCAGAAUGCCUUUCUUCAUGGUGUGUUAGAGAAGGAAGUUUACAUGAGGCAGCCACCAGGUUUUAUUGAUCCAGAUCAUCCUCAUCACCUUUGUCGCUUGGACAAAGCACUAUAUGGUCUAAAGCAAGCAGGCUCUUCGUGUUUGGCAUGCGCUUCUUGCCAGUGCUCUCCGUGUUUGCUAGUACCUACAUGCACCUCGAGACUAACAUCGAUCUGCUAUCAAGCACAUUCUUCGUUAUGUUCGCCUUAUAGCCUAUUAUGGAUUACAUCUUCGGCCUGCUCCCUCCCGUGUUCUUUCAGCUUUUUCAAAUGCAGACUGGGCAGGCAAGCUGAUGAUCGGCGAUCCACGAAGGUAUAUGUGGUAUUUCUUGGUCCUAACUUGAUUGCCUGGAGUGCUCGCAAGCAUGCCAUGGUAUCUGGCAGCAGUACAGAGGUUGAGUACAAGGUUGUAGCCAAUGCGACCGCAUAACUUAUUUGGAUAUAGUCUCUGCUUCGUCAGUUGUGAGUACCUCAAAGACAGCCACCGGUUCUUCGGUGUGAUAACAUUGGUGCUACAUACCUUUCUUCUAAUCCGGUAAUUCAUGCACGGAUAAAACAAUCGAAGUUGAGUACCACUUUGUCAGAGAACAUGUUGCACAUAAUCUACAUCAGAGCAAGGUCAUCUCCUUUAAAGACCAACUUACGGACAUCUUCACCAAGCCAUUGCCGUUACCUUUGUUUUUUGAGCAUUGUCAGCAUUCCAACUUGUGUAACACGGUUGAGAUUGAGGGAGGGUAUUAGACUUCAUAUAUGACUUGUACUCUGAAUACAACUCGUAUAUGUACAUGUAACCUUGUUAUAUAUAUGAAUACAAGGCCACCUUGAGAGGUAGAGCAGUUGACCCAAAAUCAUCUAAACCAAGUGUUAAUAGUUUGAAAUCAAGUUUGCAGGAAGGAACUUUUGGUUGAAUAUUGAUAUACAAUUAUGAAGAAAAAAUCUAGCUUCUUCCAUUCUUAACUUAUAAAUUGAACAGCUUUUAUACUGUAUUUUUUUUGACUUUGUACCCCACACCUGAAAUUGUAUAUACGUAUCUUAUGUUUAUACAUAAAUAAGAGUGGAGUAGAGGUUCAGGUAUGCCGGCCAGAACAUGCCGUGCAGCUCUAGCGCAGUUUUUCGCAAACUAGAGUACACCAGCUCCUUAGGAGCAUGGCGAUCGUAAGAGGGUACAGCGUCAAAAGCCUGCUCUUCCAGCUGAUCCAGAGUACCAGCAGGACGACGGUGUUGGCUAACCUGCGGUGCAGAUGACGCAGCGGGGAUCAAAGCAUGGAGGGGGCCGCAGAUGUCCUCAAGGGAGCCGGUCGCAGCGGCGCGCAGAGCGAUACGCCAAGGGCGCCGUAUAAGCCGGCGAAGAGGUGCACAGCAUCUUCGUCCUCAACUGUGCAGAAGGGGCAGGCAGCGGCCGAGGCAAUGCCGAGGCGAUUCAGAAAGCUUCGCGUGAGUGUUACCAUGCGGAGCAAUCCAGAAGAAGAUCUGGACCUUUUUGGGAGCAAAGCACUCACCACGGUGGUGGAGAAGAGUGUAGACGGCGGCGGUGAGGGUUGGUUGGCGAGUCAAGGUCGACGACUCUCAAAUGUGAACAUUUUCGCUGUACAUCGCAAGGGAAUCAGCAGCCUGUGAGCGAUUGGGCCCAAAACUUGGACCCAGCUUCUCCCGGCCUGUUUCCGAGCAAUUACAAGUUUAUUUACAUCGCUUUUUCCCCUAAAAAAACUUGUUUCUUUCCUCUUUCUUUCUUUCUGUGGAAUGGAAUUGUACCUUCGAUCUACAAGUGGACGGAAAAUUCUAAAAAAUACAGUGGACCGAGCGACCAAGAAUAUCUUCAGAACGAUCAUUGUAUUUUACUCUUGGCUAAUAAAUACACUGAUGGUCAUAAUGUCACCAUAUCACCAAAAUGGUGCGAUCCUUAAUGUUGUAGCAUUAACUCUCACAUGUCUCGUUCUUGUUGGAGAUGAUGAACCAACAACUUUCGGUGGUGUCUCAUAUGCCAUGAAACUUCCAGGAAGCUGCAUCGGUGGUGUCCUAUAUGUGCAAGAGAUUUCCAGGAAGUUUCGUUCAGGGUCAAACCUUAGCCUUGUGAAGUCAUCUGUGAUAUAUGUGAACUAAUGCUCGGGAAAGGACAAGGAUAGCAAUGAAUAAGAUAUGGCGCCAUCUUCUGCUGAAUUUCUCCGAACUGAUGAUGGAAGGCAUCUUUCAAUGCUAUAUAUAUGCCCAUGUCUCUGGGCCUGGAAAAUGUUCCAUUUGAAAACCACUGCCUACAUCAACCUACAUAUAUUUCAUUCUCUCUUUCUCAUGUGGGCGAUGGUGAUUAUGGGUCAAAACAUCCUAAUCGCAUUGGUGUCAUCUCUCCUGAUGUUGAUCUUGGGGCCAUUGAUCAUAGAUGUAAUCCUGGUAAGCAAAAAGAUCUGGAGCUUCUUGUGCACACUUACAAAAUACCUAGUGCAUGACGACACCCUCGCCGUCGACUCCGUGGUGCUUGGUGAUAGCUGCGCACCGCCGGCGCAACUAGUUGGCGGCGGCGGAUUGACCUCUGGUGACAUAGAAAUUGUCACGACGAGGCUU
rnacentral:lncRNA from 1 species